UCAGGAAGUCAGAUAAAUUAUCAUAAUGGUCCCUUCUAGACUGAAAAUCUCUGAUUCUGUGAGAGGUGCUGACUGUCCCAUACAAGGAUAGAGACUCCAUGGAACGAACUCAGGGCAUACUACAGUUGUUUCCUUCAUGUGGAGCUCUCCACACCACUCUGCGAGGCUUUGCCACUCCUAAGCUUCGAACCCAGAUGUGCUGUUCACAUCAUCUCUCACUUGUGAGGAAAAGAGAGAGACCCUGAAGGUGACGGGCUAAAGACAGUCAAGUCACUACUGGCCAAACAAUGACAUCAGCUGACAGAUUAACUCCCAGCCGAGCUGAGUGGUGGCUUGCACAUGAGAAGAGUCUGCAACCAGCCAAGACAAUAAAAGGAAAAGUCUAUUUCCAGCUGAACAAAAAUAUAAUGCCAAUCACAAGAGGACACAAGAAUGAUGCAGAUCCCUGCGGGCGGUGAGGGAACUCCUGCCAAACGGCCCACAGCUCAGAGACAUCUGCUCUGUGUGUUUGUCCUGAGCAGGCCGCAAGCUGGACUGCUUUCCUAUUCCACAGAGUUAAAGCCAAGAACCCUGCCUCCCUACGCUGCCUGCGGAUUUGGAAAUGGCUGCUGGCAUUACAUGCCCUGCUGGACACGGAAUGUCAGAUCUUUAAACCUUUAUCUGCUAACACCUUGAAAUGUGUACGUGGUGGGAUGAGAUUCAUCAGGACGUUCAGAUGUGACGCACGGCAGAGUUUGUGUUCAGCUCAUGCAGAGGCCAGCAGAGCUCAGGAAGGCAUCAGGCCAAAGAACAACUUGAAAAAAACAGUGCCACACCAUGGAUCCCAGCCAAUCUGCAAAGAGCACAGGGCAGGGGGGUGAGUGCAAGGGGGCGCACAGGGGUUGAAGGUGCUCAGAGCGCUGGGCCAGUGGAUGCGCAUCUUGGACUGACCGGAGGAGAGUCAGGAAGCCCUAAGAGGAGGAUGUGGCAGUUGUCAAGGUCAGAGACAGCCAGGGUCUGGGUGACCCUAAGCAGCCAGUGUUCACACCUUACACUCUAUUGUAAUACGCCUUGGGAGGUAUCAUUUGAAAAUUCAUAACUCACUGCUCAUUGAUAUUCUGGUGUGACGUGUAUGUGCUGUGUUUUGGGAGGUAUGGAUGUAUGCUGGAAUUAUGACUAAAAUGUGUGUAAACCAGGCAUGUCGGGAGAGUUGGUAAACUCAUCUGCCCUAGACAAAGGGAUGUGUGUUUGCUUCUCUUGGUCAUAAAGACAGAGACAACAAUGGUCCAUUUUUACAUAUCAGCUGAAGGAGGAGCCAGGAUGCUAUCUAAACACAGCAGGAGAGAGUAAUUUGGUCUGGGUUCUACUUUUCAAAGACUACAUUGC